rnacentral:lncRNA from 14 species
UAUUAUGCUCAUGUAAAUUCAUUUUAAAUUCUAUUUAUUCUUUCUUAAUUGCAUAGGGACAAGAGAUCCUUCUAGAUCAAGAAGUUCAAAAUAUCCUUGUUACAGCAAUUGUGAAAAUGCUAAUGCAGAUUUGGAGCCACAAUGUGAGAAACACAGUUUGGAGCCUGUUGCUGCCAUACAAGAUGCAGAAAAGAGACAAAAAGAACUUUUGCUGCUUGAAUUGAGAACUUCCAAAGAUGCAGAUACAUAUAUCCAAAGGCUGUCUCAGGUGCAAGAUACUUUGAAUGAAAUGCUUGCAAAACAGAAAGUGGAAAGGGAUACCCUUGCUAAAAAAUACAGGAAUUUAGUCAUAAAGCUGCGCUCUUAAACAAUGGCAAGAUCA